GAUGAACGCUGGCGGCGUGCCUAAUACAUGCAAGUCGAGCGAACAGAUAAGGAGCUUGCUCCUUUGACGUUAGCGGCGGACGGGUGAGUAACACGUGGGUAACCUACCUAUAAGACUGGGAUAACUUCGGGAAACCGGAGCUAAUACCGGAUAACAUUUGGAACCGCAUGGUUCUAAAGUGAAAGAUGGUUUUGCUAUCACUUAUAGAUGGACCCGCGCCGUAUUAGCUAGUUGGUAAGGUAACGGCUUACCAAGGCGACGAUACGUAGCCGACCUGAGAGGGUGACCGGACACACUGGAAGUGAGACACGGUCCAGACUCCUACGGGGGGCAGCAGUAGGGAAUCUUCCGCAAUGGGCGAAAGCCUGACGGAGCAACGCCGCGUGAGUGAUGAAGGGUUUCGGCUCGUAAAACUCUGUUAUUAGGGAAGAACAAAUGUGUAAGUAACUGUGCACGUCCUGACGGUACCUAAUCAGAAAGCCACGGCUAACUACGUG
rnacentral:rRNA from 1 species